AUAUCUCUAGUUCAGUGGUAGAAUUCUCACCUUCCAUGUGGGAGAUCCAGGUUCAAUUCCCAGCUGGUGUA
rnacentral:tRNA from 1 species